rnacentral:rRNA from 1 species
UACGGGGGGGGCAAGCGUUGUUCGGAAUUACUGGGCGUAAAGGGCUCGUAGGUGGCCAACUAAGUCAGACGUGAAAUCCCUCAGCUUAACUGGGGAACUGCGUCUGAUACUGGAUGGCUUGAGUUUGGGAGAGGGAUGCGGAAUUCCAGGUGCAGCGGUGAAAUGCGUAGAUAUCUGGAGGAACACCGGUGGCGAAGGCGGCAUCUGGACCAACACUGACACUGAUGAGCGAAAGCCAGGGGAGCAAACGGG